CUGGGUUUCAACAAUUUAACAGGCGAACUCCCAAGUUCUUUGUUCAACAUGAGUUCUCUUACAUAUUUAUUUCUUGGAAACAAUAGUCUGUCUGGACCUCUUCCAAGCCAAAAGAGCAAUCAACUUCAGACUAAUGUCAUAAAAGUAUGCUAUAUGUACUGGCAAUGAAACCAGUACUCUGUGUGUGUGUGCGCACGCAUUCUGGCAGCCUUUUUCUUACUUAAAUUCCUUUGAACUUUCAUGCAUUUUUGUGCCUUCUCAUUCUGUAUUGUUAUGUGCAGAGAUUUGUCUUACAACUAUUUCUCAGGAAGCUUUCCCCCAUGGGUGACCACAAUAUCACAACUGUAUGUCUCCUUUUUAUCUUUCACCUUCAUUUUUAUGGUCCAAAUCACCUUCAUUGUGCAUAUAUAAUACCACAUGAAUGAAAUUCAAUAAAUUAGAAGGGAUGGAUUUGAAGAACUGAUAUGUUGAGAUCUUGAACACGAAAUUUUCAUCUUCAUAUGUGGAUUGAUUAAUGAUUUUAUGCAGGAAUUUAGUGGUCAACAACUUCACAUUUGACAGUUCAAACAUAACUCUUCCUGGAUUGAAUUGCCUCCAGAGGAAUUUUCCAUGCAAUCGAAAUACCCCACGAUGUA